UUAGGAAUCUUCCCCAAUGGGCGAAAGCCUGAGGGAGCGACGCCGCGUGAGGGAUGAAGCUUCUCGGAGUGUAAACCUCUGAAUAAGGGACGAAUAUUGACGGUACCUUAGUAACAGCACCGGCUAACUCCGUGCCAGCAGCCGCGGUAAUACGGAGGGUGCAAGCGUUACCCGGAAUCACUGGGCGUAAAGGGCGCGUAGGCGGUCCUGUAAGUCUGAUUUAAAAGACCGAAGCUCAACUUCGGGUCUGGGUUGGAUACUGCAGAACUAGACGGCUGGAGGGGAGAGUGGAAUUCUCGGUGUAGCGGUGAAAUGCGGAGAUACCGAGAGGAACACCAGUAGCGAAGGCGGCUCUCUGGACAGUACGUGACGCUGAGGCGCGAAAGUGUGGGGAGCAAACCGG
rnacentral:rRNA from 1 species